GACAUAGGUGGCAAACGUUAUCCGGAAUUAUUGGGCGUAAAGGAUGCGUAGCUGGUCUAGUAAGUUAUCAGUGGUAAAUCGGGGCCCAACCUCGUGGAAGUUGGUAAUACUGUUAGACUUGAGUAUCGGAGAGGUUAACGGAACUCCCUGUGGAGCGGUGAAAUGUGUAGAUAUAGGGAAGAACACCAAACGGCGAAGGCAGUUAACUAUUCGGCUACUGACAUUGAGGCAUGAAAGCGUGGGGAGCAAAACGG
rnacentral:rRNA from 1 species